CCUCACAUGAGGUGACAGUUCAGCAAUGCAUGGAUGAUUCAGUCCCAUGUGUGUCUUCUGUUACCCUUAUGAUUCACCUGACUUGAAAGAAAUAAACCUGUUACAUAAAAAUCAAGUCUUGUUGGAUUCCUGCAUCCUGACCCGAUGCCCCCAUGGUGAUAGCACCUCAAAUCUGAACCCUUCUUAACACUCAUGAUUGGCUCAGACAUUGUGCUGCAUGUUUUGAUUGCACCUAAUUUUUUUCCGUUUCCCUGUAAUUUCAUUCAAGCGGUAGAGAACGGCACAUGCUGCUGGUAUUAGAUGACGCAUGUCGGUGAGAUAUGCGGCUGUCCCUCUAAUGGCAUGCCAUCGGCCUCUUUCUACGACCUCGCCAACACUCUCCUCCACAUCUGCGAGUUGCCUGGCAACAUGAGAAGCCAUGAAAGAGCUCAACGUGUGUUUGUACCUGUGGUCUAAAAAGAGGAACUUCCAUUCCAGACUGUGCCUAGACGUGAACUCUUCAUUGGGCUCCUCCACUGUACACAUCUCCUGUGAAGACACGACCACCUUCGCUGUAGCGGUUCCAGGACAACAUGGUGUACGUUACUGUGUAUUCGCUGUGAAUGUGACAUUGGACGGUGGCCAGGACGGUGCAGAGCAUGUCAGGAUGGGGAUGGCCCUGCCUGAUGGCAAAGGGUUUCCCCCUUUAUCGACAUCCAAUCAGAAGCUCCACAGACCAUGACGUGGUACCUAUAGUGUGACGAGGCUCCCCCGUUAAUAUGUUAUUGUGCAUUUAAGAAGAAACCUUUUUUUUUAUUUAAUGAGGCAUUAUGUUGAAUGAGAAGUUUUUUUAUUGACAAUACAAAAUAUACUGUUUACUUUACAUUAAAUAAAACAACAACACAUAUUCAUACAUGAAUAAAAUAAGAAGAAAUUAACUUAGGGCAUACUUGCAUCAAUGUAAAUGUGCAUACACAGAUUUUAUUAUUUGAAAAAAAA